UAGUGGCGCACGGGUGAGUAAUGCAUAGGUUACGUGCCUCUAUAGUCUGGGAUAAGCACGAUUGGAAACGACUGACUAAUACUGGAUACUCCCUACGGGGGAAAGUUUUUCGCUAUAAGGAUCAGCCUAUGUCCUAUCAGCUUGUUGGUGAGGUAAUGGCUCACCAAGGCUAUGACGGGUAUCCGGCCUGAGAGGGUGAUCGGUACACACUGGAACUGAGACACGGUCCAGACUCCUACGGGAGGCAGCAGUAGGGAAUAUUGC
rnacentral:rRNA from 1 species